rnacentral:piRNA from 1 species
UAGGUGUGCAUUGGAGGUGACGGUUCUGUU